rnacentral:rRNA from 1 species
AGGGAGUUUGAUCCUGGCUCAGGAUGAACGCUAGCUACAGGCUUAACACAUGCAAGUCGAGGGGCAUCAUGGGAGGACUUCGGUCCUUUUGAUGGCGACCGGCGAAUGGGUGAGUAACACGUAUCCGACCUGCCCUGUACUGGAGGAUAGCCUCCCGAAAGGGAAAUUAAUACUCCAUGUGUCAAAUGUCCGCAUGGUCGUUUGAUGAAAGAUUUAUCGGUACAGGAUGGGGAUGCGUUCCAUUAGCCAGCCGGCGGGGUAACGGCCCACCGGGGCGACGAUGGAUAGGGGUUCUGAGAGGAAGGUCCCCCACACUGGAACUGAGACACGGUCCAGACUCCUACGGGAGGCAGCAGUGAGGAAUAUUGGUCAAUGGCCGCAAGGCUGAACCAGCCAAGUAGCGUGCGGGAGGACGGCCCUAUGGGUUGUAAACCGCUUUUAUACGGGGGUAAAACGCGCCACGUGUGGUGUCUUGCAAGUACCGUAAGAAAAAGGACCGGCUAAUUCCGUGCCAGCAGCCGCGGUAAUACGGAAGGUCCGAGCGUUAUCCGGAUUUAUUGGGUUUAAAGGGAGCGUAGGCGGGAUGCCAAGUCAGUUGUGAAAGUCCGCGGCUCAACCGUGGAAUUGCAGUUGAAACUGGUAUUCUUGAGUGUACAUAACGAAGGUGGAAUUUGUGGUGUAGCGGUGAAAUGCUUAGAUAUCACGAAGAACUCCGAUUGCGAAGGCAGCCUUCGGGGGUACUACUGACGCUGAGGCUCGAAAGUGCGGGAAUCAAACAGGAUUAGAUACCCUGGUAGUCCCCU